CGGAUCGCAGUCUGCAACUCGACUGCGUGAAGGUGGAGUCGCUAGUAAUCGCGGAUCAGCAACGCCGCGGUGAAUGCGUUCCCGGGCCUUGUACACACCGCCGUCAAGUCAUGAAAGUGGGCAGCACCCGAAGACGGUGGCCUAACCCUUGUGGGGGGAGCCGUCUAAGGUGAGGCUCGUGAUUGGGACUAAGUCGUAACAAGGUAGC
rnacentral:rRNA from 1 species